rnacentral:rRNA from 1 species
CACGGGGGGGAGCAAGCGUUGUUCGGAAUCACUGGGCGUAAAGGGCGUGUAGGCGGUUCGGUAAGUGGAAUGUGAAAUUGCUCCGGCUCACCCGGAGUACUGCAUCCCAAACUGCCGAGCUUGAGUAUGGGAGAGGAUGAGGGAAUUCCUGGUGUAGCGGUGAAAUGCGUAGAUAUCUGGAGGAACACCGGUGGCGAAGGCGGCAUCCUGGACCGACACUGACGCUGAGGAGCGAAAGCCAGGGGAGCAAACGGG